GAGCUCCCCUCACCCCCAAGCGCGGCCCCUCGUUCUCCUGCUCACCCCGUCCCCCAGCACAGCCCCUGCGCUCUUGUCACCCCCCUGAGCUCCCCCAUCCCUGUCCUCCCCCAAAAACGGCUUUCAGGGCCUCCCCGCCACCCCUCAUCCCCAAACGUGGAUCUUGGGCCUCCGUGUCCCCCCAGACGGGGCUGUGCUGUCCCUGUGGCGGCAGCAGGAGCAGUGGAGCAGGUGGGGAUGGGGACGCACCUCUCUGAGGAGGUGGCUGUCGCCACUGUCUGCCCACCCUGUGCCCCCGUGUUGGCUCCCUGUGGGUCCCGUGUGGGACCUCCCUUCCCAUCCCACCUCUAGCUGGUGGGAUCAAACCCUCCAGUGCCUGCCUUGGGCACCCAUCGCCCUCCACAGGACCCCCAGGACCACCACCCUUGGCCAACGGGUGCUCAUCCCAGCCUUCCCCGUGUCCACAACCUCUGUCUUAUCCUUAAAUUUGCAGGCAGGAGCCACUGCAGGCACUGCUGAUGGGACACCUUCCCAAAGGACUGGAGGGAUGCCACCCUGGAGCAGGGAAGUCAGCAUCCACCAGCCAGCCAGAGCAGCCCUGCCCAGGGCUUGACCUCUCAGACCAUUCCUGCCUCUGAGGCAACAAACAGUUGACAUCAGGAUGUUUCAACACAGCAAUGGCCCAAUGCAGAACCGCCCUGUGCAGAGCUUCCCUUGCCUUCCCAGAGGAGUUUGUGUGGGGCUGUUUUGCUGUGUGACCCCCCACAAAUCACUCCCACCCUCUGCAGGUCCCGUGUGGCUGUGAGACCUGACCUGCAGAGGGUUCACAUCGGCCACCAUCAGAUGAGGGCAUUGCCCACCCUCCCAGGCCCAUCCCUCACAUCCUGCAGUCGGUUCCCAAAACCCAGGCUCUUCUCUGGAUGAGACUUUUCUGGGCAGCAGGGCUUGGUGGGCUGCGAGCUUCCAACAGCAGCAGAGCCAAGCUCCCUGUCCGCCAAGAGCUGCUCCUCCUCCUCUUUCUCCUCCCCCCGGUGCUGUCUCACCAUCAGGCUACAGCGACUUCCUGGCAUUGCACACAGGUCCUCACCAGCCGUUAGGAAAGAGCUUCUGGUUUCAGGGGAGGGGGACCUCGGAGAGGCUCAUCCUGGAGUGCCUCGGGUGGUCUUCAGCAAGGAGGUGAGCACACAGGAAAGCAUCCACUGAUGGAAAAUGUCGCAGAUGCAUCUGGAGGGGAGAGAUGCUGUGGUGAGACACCUGAGGGCAAAGUUCCAAGGGAUCAGGAAAGACCCUCCUGAAGUGGGGGGCUGGCCAGAGAGUCACCCUGCAGCACCUCAUGGACCAGAGCCAGGACAGACCCUUGCAAUGGGCUCCAAGGGCAAGCCCCCUCCAGAACCCCCCCGGACCAGGAGAGUGGACUACAGCAGGGCCUCUCCGUGCCACAGCACAGGUCAGAGUGUGGCACAGCAUUCCCCUCCUCAUGUCACCCAGGAGGCCCUGGCAUGGAUGGCACGGCAGAAGAAGGGGAUGGCUCAAGACGCCAACUUCCACCCAGCGCCUGCAAAGCCAGGAGGAGGAGAUGUGUUGAACAAGGAGGUGGGAGCUGGCCCUGAUCCUCCCCAGAGGAAGCCAGCCCAGCAGACACGGCCACUUGCCAAAGACAAGGGUGUUCCAGCAGUUCCAGCCAAAGGCACAGUGGUUGCAGCCCCCCUGGUCGCUGCAGGAAGCCCCCAGCACACAGGACUCCCAGCUCUGCCCCAGAGGAAGCCUUUGCCACCCGUGAGGGUGCUGGGAGUGAAGCCAGCCAAGCCCUGGCGCCCUCCUGUCGUGGAUUUGGCAAAGGUCAGGGCAGCUGCACAUCCUGGGACACCUCUCCAUCCUGCCACAGUGCCACCAAGGAGUGCUCAGCUGGGUAUGGCCAGACACCUGGAAGUCCCUCAGGGAAGGAUGCUGCUUGUUGAGGAAGGGAAAUGUCCCCACUUAGAGCCUGGAUCUCCUGUGAAAUGGAAAUACUGUGGGGGCUGAUGGAGAAGUGGGGGCUGGUAAUACCAAAGGGGCUUUUAUAGGCAAUAGCAUGUGGAAAGGAAUGAGAGAGAAGGAGAGCAGGUGAGGUAACAAAUUGCCCUGUCCCUGGCUGGGCACAGGCAUCAGGCCCUGGGGUGUUUGUAGGGAGUAAAGUUGGAGUAAGUAACACAAGACAUGCUGAAAAACUGGAGUAAGCCCAGUGCAGGGCACUAAGAUGGUUGGGGGCUGGAGAACAUGAGGAAAGAAAGGCUGAGACCCAGGCUUGUUCAUCUGGGAGGAGAGAGAGGAAGGGGAGAUCUCACUGCCUACAGUGACCUAAUGGGGGGAGAAGUGGGACCAGACUCUUCCCAAGAGGUGCCUGGGAGCAGGGCUGGAGGUGGUGGGCACAAGCAGUAGGGGAAAUUCCAGUUAGGCAUGAGGAGAAGACUCUUUCCUGUGAGCAUGGUGCAGCCCUGAUGCAGGCACCAGGAAGACAGGCAUCUCCAUCCUUGGAGAUACUCAGUUUUCCCCUGGAUGAGGCCCUGAACAACCUGCUCUAGCUCCGAGGCCAGACCUGCUCUGAGCAGAGGUUGGAUGAGAGUUUCCAGGGGUCCAUUCCCACCAGUCCAUCCUCAUGUGGCUGUUAGAGCAGACAAGCCCCACCAGCGGGAAGCAGAGCUGGUCCAUCCCAUGAACAAGAACCACUUACACACCAAGUUAACACCCAGGGUGUGUGUCUGCCCCUUUGGCCUCGAGGCUGAGGCUCUCUGCUGCCUGUGGGAUGCAGGGCUUGGUGCCUCUGGGUGAGGUGGUUCUCCAUUCAGCACGAGCCCUGGACGCUCCACAGUGGCCUUCUAGUUCCAGGCCACUGCAGUGGUUUCUCACAGCUGCUGCUCUGCUAAUCCACACUCUGGGUGAUGAAACCUGUUUCAAAUCCCGUUUCUUGCUCAACUUCUCUAACCAUGAGAGUAGAGCCUCCCUUAUUUCCUUAUGAGAACUGAAAAAUCGAGCUGGUUUGUGUUACUAUUAAAAGGUGUUAUCAGGGCUGGCUGUGCUGUUGUGCUGGGAGAUGCUCACCCAUAUCACCAGCCCUGGCCCAGGGCUGAGCAGCCCUGGUAGAGAAGGCAGCAAUCUGCUCUCCCUAUGUCCUACAAACCGGCAAUGUUUCAAGUAUUUAUUUGUCUCAUGGGCACUGAGGCAAGUCUGAACAUCUAGAAUUACAUCCCGCUCUGAUUUGGUUAUUGUUGUUAGUUUUUUGGGCAAAUCUUAUGAUUUUUGGGGGCUAGUAUUUGAUUGUGCAUUACUUGGUAGAAUAACCCGGCAGAGCUGUGAUGUUGUACUUGGGUCUUCAUGCCAGUUGUUGGUUGGUCUGGUUGACCAGGCUGCUGAUGAGGCUGAUGAUAAAAACAGUGGGAUGUCAGCAGGCAUGUGGGCAUGCUGGCAGUCCUGAAGUGUACAGCAGCAUGUUCUGGCUGAUGAUGCUUCUGAGUACAUGGAGAUAUCCAGGGCUUGCCCUAACACUGGUACAGAACUGGAAUUUAGGGUUUUCACAUUCAAAAUACCUGUUUUGGUCUUUUCAUCUUCCCCUUCCAUCAUUUGUCCAGGGAGAAAGUAAUAUUAGGGUCAUAAGAAUGGGAAAAUAUAUAUUCAAGGUCCCCAGUGAGCUGUGCCCCCGUGUGCUGGACGAAAGUCCCUAGAUGAGCUAUGGAGUAAAAACUCCUUCCUUGA